rnacentral:misc_RNA from 1 species
GAUGAAGAACGUAGCGAAAUGCGAUAAGUAAUGUGAAUUGCAGAAUUCAGUGAAUCAUCGAAUCUUUGAGCGCAUCUUGCGCUCCUUGGUAUUCUGAGGAGCAUGCCUGUUUGAGUGUCAUUAAAUUCUCAACUACACUGACUUUGAAUUGGUGUGGCUUGGAUUUGGGGGGAAAAUUGUUGUGGGCUUUUUGUAUAGUCUGCUCCCCUGAAAUUGAUUAGCGGUACCUUUGUGGAACUGUCUACAGGUGUGAUAAUUAUCUACAUCUUAGACAUCUGCUGGAAUGCUGCUUUCUAAACCUUACUUGUAUUGACAAUCUUGACCUCAAAUCAGGUAGGACUACCCGCUGAACUUAAGCAUAUCAAUAAGCGGAGGA